UGCUCACCCAUAGACAUUGGUUCCUUGGCGCCCCGUUUCGGGUGCUGAGGUGAAAAGGGAACACGGUGAGGCCGGGCUCGUGAGCCGUAUGCCAAAUCCGUGGCUGCCCCCGCAACUGUGAGCAGUGAGUCGGCGUCGAUUCAACGCCACUGGCCCUGGAGAGAGACGGGCUGGGAAGGCAAUGGCGUCCGGCUGGGACCUGCGAGUCAGGAGACCUGCCAAUGUCGCGCGCAACAA
rnacentral:ncRNA from 2 species